ensembl:lncRNA LOC103691054 uncharacterized LOC103691054
ACAUCUGGAACAGGGCGUUUGAGGCUGCAAGAGAAGACUGAAGAUCAGAGAAGGGAGCAGCGGCUUUCUCAAGGAUCCAGGGGCAAGAAACAUCAAAGUAAAAAGCCAGGAUACUCAGGAUGCUGUGGACAGACCAAGGCCUGCAACCUGUGCCACAGGCACCACACUCCCCAGUCACACGGAAAGAAGCCAAGAUCAAUCCCACAGUAGAGCCUGGUGCAGCCCCUGGCUACUGCCUGCUUCUUCCCAGGGUCCUCAUCCCCAGGACUCAUCUCCAAGGCCACAGCCUCCUGUUGCCACACACCCUGUGAAUCGCUUUUGUGUUUUCUUCACAGCAUCAUGGAAUUAGCCACUGCCUAGUCAUGCUACUGCCUCUAUGUAAAACGCAAGCUCUCUGAAAGCAGG